GCCAGCAGCUAUAUCACCCUGCAACUCACAACUGACAACCCACUGAAGUUAAGCGGGUGUGAGCCUGAUCAGUACCUGGAUGGGAGAUCUCCUGGGAAAAACUAAGGUUGCUGCUGGAA
rnacentral:rRNA from 1 species